rnacentral:tRNA from 1 species
AGAUGAAGUGCCUGAGCAAAGGAAUAUCUCGAUAAGAUAAACAACGUAGUAAACUACCUCAUCUA